rnacentral:rRNA from 1 species
AUUGAACGCUGGCGGCAGGCCUAACACAUGCAAGUCGAGCGGAUGAGGGGAGCUUGCUCCCUGAUUUAGCGGCGGACGGGUGAGUAAUGCCUAGGAAUCUGCCUGGUAGUGGGGGAUAACGUUCCGAAAGGAACGCUAAUACCGCAUACGUCCUACGGAAGAAAGCAGGGGACCUUCGGGCCUUGCGCUAUCAGAUGAGCCUAGGUCGGAUUAGCUAGUUGGUGAGGUAAUGGCUCACCAAGGCGACGAUCCGUAACUGGUCUGAGAGGAUGAUCAGUCACACUGGAACUGAGACACGGUCCAGACUCCUACGGGAGGCAGCAGUGGGGAAUAUUGGACAAUGGGCGAAAGCCUGAUCCAGCCAUGCCGCGUGUGUGAAGAAGGUCUUCGGAUUGUAAAGCACUUUAAGUUGGGAGGAAGGGCUGCUGGUUAAUACCCUGCAGUUUUGACGUUACCAACAGAAUAAGCACCGGCUAACUUCGUG